rnacentral:rRNA from 1 species
GGGUUGUGAGGUUAAGCGACUAAGCGUACACGGUGGAUGCCCUGGCAGUCAGAGGCGAUGAAGGACGUGCUAAUCUGCGAAAAGCGCCGGCGAGGUGAUAUGAAGCCUUGACCCGGCGAUGUCCGAAUGGGGAAACCCAGUGUGUUUCGACACACUAUCGUUAACUGAAUACAUAGGUUAACGAGGCGAACCGGGGGAACUGAAACAUCUAAGUACCCCGAG